rnacentral:lncRNA from 1 species
CCAUAAUAAGACAAAUGAUUCCACAGUAAAUUCAAUGACCUCAGUAUACAAUUUGAACAAAAUUUUUCGAGCAUUGAUUGCAAAUUUACAAUGUCAAAAUACCUUACAAAUCAAAAUAUAACAGUUUAAGAAUCCUUCAUAGCCGGUGCUACGAGGUAUCAACAUAGAAUCCUUCACAUGACUUUACCGAUAACAAUACCAAGAAUUAGUAAUCCAUAGCCGGUGCACUUAAGCUUCAUGGUUCCGUUGCCAUAACUACACUCAGGAGUUGGCACUCAGGAGUUGGCGUUGACACCUUGGAAGCAGCGUCCAUCCUAUGAAUUAAAUCCAAAUACAUUACAUAACAGCAGCAAAAUUGUAUAAAAAUGCUUAAAUAAAUACGGAUUAUAUGUGACAGCAGCGACAAUUUUGAAAAACAUGAAAAUAAACAAACAAUCUAUAAGUAAAUUAAAGUAACAAACCUAAUUAUUAUUCAAUAUUGCACCCACAUGGCUUCGGCCAAGGUAUUCCUCGCCGCAUUCCAUUGGGAGAACUAUCAACAUGAUCUAUGAAUUCAUCCGACGGUGGAUCUGAG